CCUACGGGAGGCAGCAGUGGGGAAUAUUGGACAAUGGGCGCAAGCCUGAUCCAGCAAUGCCGCGUGAGUGAUGAAGGCCUUAGGGUCGUAAAGCUCUUUUACCAGGGAUGAUAAUGACAGUACCUGGAGAAUAAGCUCCGGCUAACUCCGUGCCAGCAGCCGCGGUAAUACGGAGGGAGCUAGCGUUGUUCGGAAUUACUGGGCGUAAAGCGUACGUAGGCGGUUAUUCAAGUCAGAGGUGAAAGCCCGGGGCUCAACCCCGGAACGGCCUUUGAAACUAGGUAGCUAGAAUCUUGGAGAGGUCAGUGGAAUUCCGAGUGUAGAGGUGAAAUUCGUAGAUAUUCGGAAGAACACCAGUGGCGAAGGCGACUGACUGGACAAGUAUUGACGCUGAGGUACGAAAGCGUGGGGAGCAAACAGGAUUAGAUACCCUGGUAGUCCACGCCGUAAACGAUGAUAACUAGNUGUCGGUCGACUGUGUCUGAGUGGCGCAGCUACGCAUUAAGUUAUCCGUCCGUCGGGUAGGUACGGUCGCGAGAGUUAAACGUACGAAAGGAAGUAGUAACGGUCGUGAGACGUGCCGAACGGACGACGACGAGGGAGGUUAGG
rnacentral:rRNA from 1 species